rnacentral:rRNA from 1 species
AAUGAACGUUGGCGGCGUGGAUUAGGCAUGCAAGUCGAGCGAGAAAUUUACUUCGGUAAAUGGACAGCGGCGAAAGGGACAGUAAUGUGUAGGUACCUACCCUCUGAUCUGGGAUAGCUGCGGGAAACUGCAGGUAAUACCGGAUAAUGUCUUCGGACCAAAGGUGUGAUUCCGUCUGAGGAGGGGCCUGCAUCCUAUUAGCUUGUUGGUGAGGUAAUGGCUCACCAAGGCAACGAUGGGUAGCGGGUGUGAGAGCAUGACCCGCGUCAUUGGGACUGAGACACUGCCCAGACAUCUACGGAUGGCUGCAGUCGAGAAUCUUCGGCAAUGGGCGAAAGCCUGACCGAGCGACGCCGCGUGCGGGAUGAAGGCCCUCGGGUUGUAAACCGCUGUCGUUGGGGAGGAAAUGCAUGAGGGCUAUCCCUCUUGUUUGACCGAUCCAAGGAGGAAGUACGGGCUAAGUUCGUGCCAGCAGCCGCGGUAAGACGAACCGUACGAACGUUAUUCGGAAUUACUGGGCUUAAAGGGUGCGUAGGCUGCACGGAAAGUUGGGUGUGAAAGCCCUCAGCUCAACUGAGGAAUUGCAUCCAAAACUGCCGUGCUUGAGGGAGACAGAGGUAAGCGGAACUCAAGGUGGAGCGGUGAAAUGCGUUGAUAUCUUGAGGAACACCGGUGGCGAAGGCGGCUCACUGGGUCUCUUCUGACGCUGAGGCACGAAAGCUAAGGUAGCAAACGGG